rnacentral:rRNA from 1 species
GCUUGUCUCAAAGAUUAAGCCAUGCAUGUCUAAGUAUAAACAACUUUAUACUGUAAAACUGCGAACGGCUCAUUAUAUCAGCAAUAAUUUAUUUGAUGGUUUCUUACCCCAUGGAUAACUGUGGUAAUUCUAGAGCUAAUACAUGCGUAAAGUCCCGACUCUUUCUGGGGAGGGAUGUAUUUAUUAGGUACAGAACCAAUGCAAGCUCCGCUUGACCUUUUGGUGAUUCAUGGUAACCGAACGAAUCGCACGGCACGAGGUGGCGAUGGACCAUUUCAGUUUCUGACCUAUCAGCUUCCGACGGUAGGAUAUGGGCCUACCGUGGCAAUGACGGGUAGCGGAGAAUUAGGGUUCGAUUCCGGAGAGGGAGCCUGAGAAACGGCUACCACAUCUAAGGAAGGCAGCAGG